rnacentral:rRNA from 1 species
AACGUAGGUACCGAGCGUUAUCCGGAUUUACUGGGCGUAAAGCGCGUUCAGGCGGUUUGGCAAGUCGGGCAUGAAAUCUCUCGGCUCAACCGGGAGAGGUUGUCCGAUACUUCCAGACUUGAGGGCAGUAGAGGGUGGUGGAAUUCCGGGUGUAGUGGUGAAAUUCGUAGAGAUCGGCAGGAACACCCAGGGAGAAAUCAGUGGACUGGCACGGUGCUGACGCUCAGGUGCGAAAGCGUGGGGAGCGAACCGG